rnacentral:misc_RNA from 1 species
ACGAACCCCACAAACAUCAGAUGCACGUCACAGCUCAGCGGCAGAUCGUCAAGCUGACGAAGAAUAAUAACGUGCUUGACCAGAACAUGGUGUACAUGAAGCUGCUGGAACUCUGCGAAGUUCAAGUCUGGGUGUGUAAGUCCGGUUUCUAUGGAGAUAACUGUGACAUGAGCUGCGUGCUUGUCCGAGCAACGCCACCUGUAACGGCUGGAACGCCUCGUGUCCAGAGAUAACUACAACAACUCAACUACGACAGUGACAACCAUUCCACCAACAACGACGACCACCCAAUCAACCACAUCCUCAGCAUCAACAAACCUGACUUUGGAAACGAGUGUACCGACAACUACCGAAAUCUCCAACAAAGAACCAGAAAUCACUACAAACUUCGCGCCCACCCCUUUAACCACAGAAAACCGAACGGAAGAAAGAAGAGAAGGAGAAGCAGCAAACAAGGCUGAAUUCCCCCUGUACCCGGUUAUAGGGGCGGCAGUGGGAGGAGGAGUGUUGAUGAUAGUUAUCGUUAUAAUUCUCUGCCUUGUAAUGAGGAAAAAGCUUGGCCACAAACUGGACGUCCAGGAGUUGCAGGAGAGGUCCACCACUCGCCGCGACUCCGAGUCUCAAAGUGUCUACGUCAUCAAAAAGGAAGCCAAGAAGAAGGCGGAGGUGAGGCCAGCGUUCCUGAGGGUUCCCAACAAGUUUGGACAGAAGAACGGCUACACCAACUUCGCCAUGGACGAACAGGCCAGCAAGGCAGGCAGCGUCAGCGGCGACGAAAACGGCGACUACAUGGUUAUCUACGACAACGAUGACAGCAUCUACGCCACGCUCAAGGACGGCAAUGCGCAGACGGACAACGCAGUACUCAGCUUGAUAGACUCGCUGGCUUCCGGCGAACUGCCUGAUAAGUAUACCGAACUUCCAAAAGGAUUUCUGCAUGAACACGAAGCCGGCAAAAGUCCGCUCAACUGUAACAAGAACAGGGUGGCCUCAGUUGUGCCAUACGACUACAAUCGAAUCGUUCUCAAGGACGGGUACGUGGCUGUGGAGGCAACAGACUACAUCAAUGCAAGUUAUAUUCAGGGAUAUCAAGAUCGAAAUACCUACAUUGCAACUCAAGGACCACGUGACAACACCGUUAGCGACUUCUGGCGGAUGGUGUGGCAAGAGCAGAUAACUCAGAUCGUUAUGCUGGCCAACAUAUCAGAAGGAGGACAGGAUCAGUGUUGGGAGUACUGGCCCUUCGCGACAGUUCUGAGACUCAUGGUCCAGUGACUGUGACAGGACUGCACGUGGAGAAGCGGGCUCACUUCAUGCACAGAACCUUCUUACUGAAGGCGGAAGACGGAGCCCAGGAGAGGGAGGUAGAGCAGUACCACUUUCAAGUGUGGCCGGAGGUGGGGAUGCCGUCUGUGACGUCACUGGUCAACUUCUGGCGGCUGACGAGGGCGCGAGCUCCUCAACAUCCUCCGCCCCCUGUCCUUGUCC